UGAAAAAAAUAAACUUCUUCCAUUUCUUUCCUUCAAGAAUUGAAGUGGUUCCUUCCAACUUAAAGCAGAGGAUUUGAACAAUUCAGGUUUAGAGUAAUUGAGGAUAUGCAAUAAACUUUCAAGUUCUUUUGCAGGUACAUCUUGCAUGACUGAUGUGCAUAUUUUACGCUCAUAUUUUAGGUACAAAACGUGCAGCAAAGCUUCAUCAAAAGGCUACGCAAUUGUUGACGAAGAACGAAGAUCGUGGAAGAAUUCAUAGCUUGACGAAAUAAUAGGAAUUGCAUGGUCGAAAUUAGUCUGAAAAUAAUUUAGGAAGUGUAUAAAUAGUAGAACAUUUUAUUCAUUCUUCGUUCAUUCUUCCC